AUAGUGGUGACAGCAGUUGUAAUGGUGAUGUUAUGGCAGAGACAUGGCUAUGGUAGUACUAAUGGGGCGGAGGUGAUAGCAGCAAUGGUUGCAAUGCUUGUGGCGUCAGUGCGGGCUACAAGACAAAAGCAGUAAUGGCAACGAUGAUGGUGACAAAGGCAGAAAUGAUGGUGAACAUGGCACCGUGGUAGCAGAGGCGGAGACAGUAACAAUAGUUAUAGUAAAAUAGUAAAAUAAAUGAGUUUCUUGUUUUUGAGAACAUUAAAAGUACGGAUUUCUUCCUUUCAUUUUUCUAGAAAUAAUAAAAAAAACUUUUGAAAAAUAGAAAAUAAAAACAAUAAUACCAAGAUAAGUUUUUUGACUUGGUUUUUAUAAUUGUCUUUAAACCUAAAAAAACAAGAAAUAAAAGCCAUGCCAAGCAAGCCCUUAGUCAUUCGCUGUUGACUAUAAUAACAUGGUUGAAGACUAAACAAAAAGGAACAUUAGGCAAAUAUUGUAGUAUCUGGGUUUGUGAUGGAUGGUUGUAAACAUGUAAAUUCCAGCACUCACCAAUUUUCGUCAAGUUUGAAAACUUAUAGGCUUUUCUCUCUUCAUUUGUGCAUGUUCUAGGGAAGGGCAAGAAUAGAUUAAGGUGGCUCUUGGUGACCAAAAUGAGAUCACUAUGGUGAUCCUCAUCCCGAGUAUUGUGUUUGGUAUGUUAUGUUCCAGUAAUUAAAGAUCCCUAUGUAUCCACGAUUAACCUACUUGGUAGGUAAAAUCAAAACCACCUCAAUAUAUUCCAUAUAUUUUGCAACUAUUAAACAGAAGUCUCAAAUAAAUCCUAGGAAAACACACAUGAAUAUAAAUCAAAUUAUCAAAACAUGUUAUUCCAAACCAAAUCAACAAGACUAAAAGUUAAUUAAAACCUGUCAAGAUAACUCUAGGGGAUUAUCCAACCUUCUCAACUAGAAUUUUUUUUUAUGGAAUUAUCAACCCCUUCUCAGCUAGGACUUUUUUCCAGAGACCGGCAUUUUUUGAAACAAUUUUUCCUCCUGGACCGAGGGGCACGUUUGUCCCCAAAUUUCAGCCCAAAUCAACAACACCUAAAAACAUGUCCUCCAAGAUGGGUUUAACAUCACUGAGUUGGGUGGUGAUUUUAGGAGUGAGGUUGACUCGGGAUCUUUGCCACGUAAAAUCACUAGGAUGCAACCCGGAAAUCUUGUCACUUCCACCCCCAUCACCGUUGAUCUUGGGGUCAUCACCCAUACAAAACACCACCUAAGAGAUAUUUUAGACAUGUUUGAUAUUUAAAUGAAGGGAUGUUGUCCCAUGCAGCAUAUUUUAUGCUUGCUCUCAAUUCCUUUAGCGAGAAAUAGCGUAAAUCUGAUGAAUUAACAUAGUUGAGUUUCAGUCGGAACAAAAAUAACUGAUUGAUCCAAGAAAUACUACGUUAUAAUUUAGAUUGGAUUGCCUUCCAUGUUGUUAUGAUUUUUUUACUUCAUCUCCGCCCCCCCUCAAAAAAAAUAAAUAAAUAAAUAAAUAAAAGAAAAGAAAAAUAAAAGAUAUUUUUUAGAAAAGAAAAGGUUGGAUGUUUAGUUCAAUGAUUCAAAGUAUGCUAUAAAAUUGAAUCUCCAUAAUUAUAUGGUUCAAAAAUUCCUAGUUUUUCUUAUUAUAAUGACAUUUGCACAGAUUAUGAGAAUUAAAAUAUUUCCAAUUUUAUAUGUUUAACACUGAGAAGAGCACACAUCGUAAGAGAUUAGUUUACAGUUUGAGAUUGUUGUUCCUAAGGAAUUCCCCUUCUCCCCUGAACCGCAAUACACUCAUAGGACUUCAAAAUCUGCCUAAACAGCUUGACCUAUCUAAGACUUGAAGAAACCCAAAUAACAUAAUACCAAGGUAUUGAGCUGUUUUUGCCCAAUGGCACAUAACUUGUUCCUGCCUACUUAGCUUUAACUCUCUCUUCAACACAUACCUGUGGUGAAUUUCGUUGCCCUCUGGCAGUACUAUCUGUAACUUACCAAUAACUCCACUCUGUCAUGACCCAGCUAGAGCAGUUCAGUUAUAUACAUUCUCCAUUUCUGAGAUUGCAUCAAGUCCUAUUGCACUUGCAACAAUCACUUCAACUAACAAAUUACAGUGAAUAAUAUGAUAAAUCAGAAUUUUUUUGGGAAAAGGAAGCCAGUAGUGCUAUGGGGCUUGUGUGAAUAAAAUUUUGUCAAAGGAUAGAAGAACUGGCAUGCUGAUACAGCGACACCAAUAAAGCAAUGACCAAAGAAAAUUUCUGUAAUCCUGUUGUUUAUGCUCAAAAGGCAAUGUAACCACAAAGGCAAUGUAACCACAAAGGUUGACAGAUAUCACCCAUGCUGCAUAACUUGGUUAGAAUAUCAAAAUGAACAAAGGAAAAAAAAAUCAUACAAGUGAAAAUUUUUCAGCCAUGCCCCAAUUUCCAUCUGCAUUCCAGGCAGUACCUGAUGAGCUAGUGAUUAUCAAUUUUUGCAGCAUAUCCUCCCAGCUCUCACCUAUAAACUGGGAAACAACUCUAGGCAGUCUAAAUUAAUAAAGAAAAAAAGGAAAAACAUAAGAGUUGCUGAGAAAAUGAAUAUUUACCCAACCUGAUAACAGUAUAACCACAAGGGUUGCUCCAAAGAGUGAUGGCCAGAAACAUCACCAAGCAUCCAUCGCAAUCAAAAAUGUAUAGAAUAGCACAAUAAGAUGGUAGCAACAUUGACAAUAAUGAAAUAUUAAGCAGUUAGAGAACUAGAUAAUCAGCCAGAGAACAAAAGUCAUAUAACAGGUCUCAUAUAAGAAACAUCAUGAAAUAACUAGUAAACAGCCCCAAAAGAAGUUCCAGAUGAGAGCAGACAGGGAGAAGACUAGUAUCUUGGCGCACUGGUUGCAGAAAAGCCCUCUGCAUGAGAAAGAAAUCCAAAACCACAGAAAAAUUGUAACUGUCAAGCAACAGAUGUAUCAAGUACAUAAAUUUGCCACUUUGAAAACGAUCAGUUUUUUUGAGCCCGCAGUCUCUGCAAUGGUCAUAAGAGUACAGCAAGGUUAAAGAUGUGAGUCCCAAACUUCCAACUAGAUGAGCAAGAGGAAAUAAAUCAGGUUGACAAUAGCUCCAAGAAACCUCAAGCCUGCCAAAAAAUGUAAUAAUCACCAGCAUCCAAGUUAAGAAAUGCCAAAACAUGAAUGCAACCAAAUAAAAAAAAGUGCUAGACAGGGCAAGUAUUAGGCCAUGAAAAGAAAAUGAAGCAAAUGGAAGCACGGCACAGCUGUUUCCAGACAGACUUGGCUGAAAUAUCUCCUGUUCAAUAAGAAAACAAAAAUGUCGAAUGCUAUUACAAUCAAGAACAUACACUUAUGAAACACUUCAUAUGCAGCAUGGUUUUUGCCCAGUUUAUGUUCUUCAUGAGUCCACUUGAGUUUACGAAAUCCAUAAGUCUUACAAAGACAUAGGCUGACCAAAAUUUAGUAAUGUCACAUAAUCAAUUUUUGCAAUUAAUCAUGACCUCGCUAUGAUAUCUAAGAAAGAGCAAGUAGCAGCAAGAUGAAGCC
rnacentral:lncRNA from 1 species